rnacentral:rRNA from 1 species
GGGCCCGCACAAGCGGUGGAGCAUGUGGUUUAAUUCGAUGAUACGCGAGGAACCUUACCAGGGCUUAAAUGUAAGUUGCAUGGAUCAGAGAUGAUCCUUUCUUCGGACUACUUACAAGGUGCUGCAUGGUUGUCGUCAGCUCGUGCCGUGAGGUGUCAGGUUAAGUCCUAUAACGAGCGCAACCCCUAUCGUUAGUUGCCAGCAAGUGAAGUUGGGUACUCUAGCGAGACUGCCGGUGCAAACCGAGAGGAAGGUGGGGAUGACGUCAAAUCAUCACGGCCCUUACGUCCUGGCUACACACGUGCUACAAUGGCCGGUACAGAGAGCAGCCACUACGCGAGUAGGAGCGAA